rnacentral:rRNA from 1 species
GAUAUCUAUUGUUUUAAUCUUGCCCUCCUUGCUAAGCAGACAUGACGGUUUAUUGAUAAUCCCGAUUCCCUUUGUGCUACUGUUCUAAGAGCUAAAUACUUCUCGGAGCGUGAUUUACUUAAGGCCAACCUAAAGAACAAAUCCUCGUAUACAUGGCAGAGCAUUAUGGCAGGAGUUGAAACUAUUAAGCGUAGUCAUAUUUUACGUGUUGGUACUAGAGAGAAGAUAAAUAAAGGACGCUGA